ensembl:snRNA U6 U6 spliceosomal RNA
AUGCUCAUUUUGGCAGCACCUACACUAAAAUGGGGAAGAUACACAGAAGAUGGGCAUGGCCACCAUGCAAUGAUGACAUGCAAAGGUGUGCAGUGUUCAAUAUUUUU